CAGGGGGUAUUUUAUGUUUAAAAUAUUAGUUUUGGGGAUUAAUGAAAUGGCAUGUCGCUUUUCCUCUGA
rnacentral:tRNA from 1 species